UUGGUUUUGGUUGUUGUGCAGUAUGUUGUCUGGGAUGGAGGUAAUAUAAUGAACGUUCUUCAUAAGUCCUGUUAAACUUGGUGUCAUAAUCACAUUACAUUAGGAAGGGAUGAAGAAACUUUAGUUGUUUUGGUGAAGGUAGUUAAUAGUUUUGAGCACAAUCAUUAUAAUAAUUUAAUUAAAGAAGAUGGGAAGAAUUUGCUGCCAAAGUUGCUACUCGAAUCUCAUCUGUGUGAGGAAUGCGUUGACGGAUAUCACAUCCACCUGGCCAAGCACGAGCAGGACUCCUGGUCUCCAGACAGUGCCGAGUGAGUUUUGUCUUGGGCCUCUCCAACACAAGGAAAGCAGCCAGAUUGGCUGUGUAUGAGGCAACAAUGAUCAUAGCAAAGCCUGCCCAUACCAUCCCCAGAACCCUUGCCGAGAAACUCCUGGGAGUGCCUGUAUAUAAUGGAGAGAGAAGCUGCUUUCAAAGUUUCCUAUGGUACAGUAACCCAUAUGAUUCACACACAACAGUCAGACCACCACCCGGUUUAGAGAUCAGCAUGGUUGCUAUGGCAACAGCCAGCCUGGACCAGUAUUGAUCCACUGCUCCUCACUAAACAUAUACACUCAAAUGGAUACAUUCUUCUGGACCAUGCUAAAUGAUUUAUGCUGGAUCAGACCUACUUCAAGAACUAAUGUGUUUGAUUUACAAGAGCAGCCCUUAGUUUUCAAGGGUUCUGUUCAUCUUGUGAUGGUAAGGUAAGAUAUUAGGCUCCUACUUCCUCUGUGCAGUGUGUUUGUGUGGAGGCUUAGCUGUCAAGCACUCAAAGCACAGUGUGACAUGCCUGUAACUUGCAUAUAGAUAAUUAAGUCUCCACAGCUAACGUGACAAUAACCGAGACCAAACCUACAAAUAUUAAUGCAGGUAUGAUUCAGUAUGAUUUAAACACAUCUUAAUGUACAGCUGAUCCACUAUCACAGUUUUCAACUUCGUCGUAUGUAUACACCUUAUUCCAAGCACUACGGUGUGUAUUAUGUAGAUGUUGACCCUUUGCCGACUAUGCAAGGCAGAGAACUUAGUUCUUAUGACCUCCAUAAAGGAAUGGGUAUUAUGAGGCAAAGCUUCACAUUAUGGUCACCUGUUGCUAUAUGAUGAGAUAUUUUAAAUGUCUUUGAUUGUUUAAAAAACAAUCAUAUCUAUGAAUAAAACUGUUAUGGAAAACAUCCAUAUUUCAAACAUGCCAUGUAUUAUAUAUAUUUAAAAGAAAUGUAAUGUGUAUAAAAAAGGGUAAACACAUCUAUUAGCCACUUUUCAAAAAUCAGCGUUCACUUACAUCAACAUCAUAUACAGUAAAACCUCUGUUAACCGAUUAUUCGAUUCCCGCAUUAACCGACCGAAUUUCAACCAGAUUGGUUGCAAUCGGUUUCUACUGGCGAGAGUCGUAAAGCGAGACCCAUGUGGUAUGAGUGACCGUCCUGCUAAUGCAUGUUUUCAGUCCAUGUGGAGGCGCCAUGCUGUGUAUAUCGUGUGGUGCAUUAGUGUGCAUAUUUUGUUGUAUUACUGUUCUGUAAAGUGAUAAAUUAAUAAAAUGGCUUAGAACAAGGGUGCUGAGAUGAAGAAGGGUGGCGAGGUGAAAAGAAAACAUGUGCAUUCAAUAACUGAUAAAUUGAAGAUUAUUGAGAAGAUUGAAUCUGAUGUCACGAUAGUUAAGCUAGCAGCUGACCAUAGCAUCGGUGUAACUGAAGGAUUUAAGUUAGCAGACUUUCAUGUAACUUUUUCAUUAGCUGGUGAUAAAGGGAUUUCAAUAAAUGUUGUGGAAGACUGGCUGGAAGUUGAUAAGGGAUAUCCUGGUUAUGAGAAUUUAAGUGAAGAGCAAAUUCCUGAGAAUGUUUCUGCUACUGAAGCUGAUGAUGAAGAAGAAAAGCAAAAGCCUGCAAAACUAUCAGUUAUGAGGGAAUAUAUUGAUGGUAUCAUACAGUUCAUUGAUCUAAUCUCAAACCCAAGUUUUGUUGAUAAAAUGAACACUUCAGGACAUUUAGAGAAUUGGUUAUUCACAGGCAAAGACAAAAAACAACCCAGCUGAAAAUACAUAGCUUCUUCAAACCUGCUGGUUCCCGUAGAAGCUGAACCUCUACUCAUUGUUCAGGACAACAUAGCAAGCAAAUCAACUGACAUCAGCAGAAUCACCAGAACCUCCACUUCAUGUGAUGGACAGCGACUCAGAAUGACUGAAAUCCUGUACAGUCCAGUGUUCUCCGUUCACUUACUACGAGUGGGAUAUUGCUUCUUGGUCACAAAAUGAUGCCAACACAAAAUACAAAAUAUAAACCUAGUAAGAACUAAUGAUAGUGCAACAAAACAAGAAACGGUAAAGAACAUGAACACCAUCAAGAAUGAAGACAGUGAAAUAUGAAAAACGUUAAAAAUCAGUAAAAUGGUGAUAGGUUUAUACUGCAUACACCCAUCGAUGGCUGAAUGUAGCCGAAACUAGUAGUGUAUUUAAAUGAUGUUUUAAAUCUUUUAAUAUUAUUUUAUCAUUAUAAUUGUGAGUGACUGUAAAUUUUUAAUAUAUAUUUUAAUAUCAGAAUGACUGAUAAAUUCACUACUUUAAUACAGGGACUUCCUCAAACAGUGCUCACAAGUGACUUUUGCUGUUGGCUUGUGCGUGUGAAAUACGCACAUCAUCUGCCAAGGAAAAUCUGUAUUAAAUCUUCAUAUAUUUCAGUAUUUAUAACAGUGAUUUACAUGUUUUUGCUUCAACUUUGGUAAUUAAAUCGUUGUCUUCUA